GCUGUAUUGCCAAAGUACUAACCGUCAUGAGGCAAAAAAAAACUUAAACUAAAUAUCGGCAUAACUGAUUUAUCAGUAUCGGAAAUGGAAGUUGAUCCGAAAAUGAUCCGACCCGUGACUCAAAAACCGUGACACGAUCCGAACCGAGGGACCCGAGAGCAGCACUGCUAACGCACGUAGCUCAGCACUCUGCAAGUAGGAGAGACGGCCUGGACCAUGUCUGAGCCAUCCGAGCAGGACUUCCCCAAGGAGCACGGCUUCUCCAAGAAGCUACUGAUCAACUGCUGCCUGGUCCGCCGCAUCAUCAUGUGGGCCACGCCCGCCCCCAAAGUGAUUGGGCGAUCAAGCCAGUUUCGAUGACUAGGUGUGGACAAAUGGACUUGAUUGUAGGGCGGCAAACGAAGACCGGGUAAAACAAAGACUGGGUCCACCAUCGUGGUGGAACGAGAUCCCUGUCUUGGUCAGGACCAUAGAGUCUCUCACCGGCUUCCACACGUGACUCAAGACUCUGUUGUUCAGAGGUCACUUCUCCUGGG
ensembl:lncRNA